GGAUUAGUGGCGAACGGGUGAGUAAUACGUGAGUAACCUACCUUUAACUCUGGGAUAAGCCCGGGAAACUGGGUCUAAUACCGGAUACGACCAAUCUCCGCAUGGGGUGUUGGUGGAAAGCGUUAUGUAGUGGUUAUAGAUGGGCUCACGGCCUAUCAGCUUGUUGGUGAGGUAACGGCCUACCAAGGCGGCGACGGGUAGCCGGCCUGAGAGGGUGGACGGCCACAUUGGGACUGAGAUACGGCCCAG
rnacentral:rRNA from 1 species